UCAAAAUUCUAGACCAACUUUAAUUGAAUUUCAUAGCAAUCUCGCGCUCAACUCCCUUCUUCUUCCCUCAGCUUUCCCUGCGUCUCGCCAGUCGCCGGUGGUUCUCGCCUCCUCGCCAGUAUCCGGUGGUCUCUUUCCUCGCCUCCUCGACGGUGGGUCUUUUUCCACUUUGAAAAUUUCAGCCCGCGCGCACGGCAGACCUGGCCGUUCUUCUUAGAUCUUCCCUCAGCUGUACAAGAAACACCGCAGACCUUGCCCCUUCUUCUUCUUUGAUCUUCCUCGCUGGCCCCCUUUCUUCUUCCCUCUGUGUUUUUUCUCUCUCCUCUGCUUCUCGGAAAAUUAGGGUUUGUGAAUUGAAUUGGGGAUUUGGGAGUUAGGGAUUUUCAUAUCGGCGGUAGAGCACCACUCCACAGCAGUGGCGUGAGUGAAGGCCCGACAAAGCGCGGUGGUUGUCGACACAUCCGAAUCUUCUUCAGCAGUUGAGGAUAGCAAUCUUCGAUACCCGAAGAUUAAGCUCCAUGAUUAUGAACCUCGCGCGUUUCCUCCGCUGAUGGGCGUCCAAGGUUCCUGUGAACAGCAACGAGGCAUGCAUUCAUGGAAGAAGGGAAGUGGGGCUUCCAAGCGAUGUUGCUAGGUUUACAAAGAGCAGAGACUCGCAGCAAAUGCAAGGGCAUAGGAAAGCAGAGGUAAUCGGUUCCUGAACAUGAUUGGUUUAGGUCCUGCAAAGCCUAGUUCAAGGUUUCAUUUGGAUACUCAGGUGACUCAAAUAACUAGCCCGGUGAAUUUCAGUAUCAAUCUCCUGAGUUGGGGAGAAUUUCAUGGCCAACGACGGUUGUGAAUCCGAAGAUGGGUCUGUCAGAAUAGAGGAGACAGUAGAUGGCAAAGACCAGAGUAAUAUAGUAACUAGCUUUGUUGAAAAGGCAAUUGGAGAUAAAUGCUCAACUCGUGGAAUGAAGCAGUUUACUAAGAGCUUAAGUGAGUGGUCAGGAUCAGAAGGAUAAUAUGUGUCUACACUCCGAGGAUUGCGCCUUAUGCGAGGAAUUUGAUGUGGUUCGUGAGCAAUGGGCUAAGUUUUUUACCAGCAAGUAUUUAUUAUUGGUUUUAGCGCGCUUGAUCGAGUUGGUUUAGUUGUUAUAGAAUAAAUUUUAUAUUAAAAUGUAUGUUUAUGUUGAAAUUGGAACAUAUAUUUAAAUGUAAUAUGUGCACUUUGGUUUUGGGAUAUAUAGUAUACAA